CAGCUCCGUGGGGUACAGGCUACGGAACAGUUUAGCACUUGUUCGGGGGGUCCAGCCCGAUGUUGGGCCCAUAAAGGAAGCAGAUGUGCAGGAACUGACCCGUAACCCAGAGGCUGGGCUGGGCAUCUCGUGUUCUGCACACUACAUCCUGACUUGCAGGUGGCUCCAACCAGGUGAUGUGGAAAGGAGCUGUGUCUGCACUACACACUCUCACUACAGGUGUCCUCCUGGGGUGCCAACCUGCAUCUCUGCAUGGUUGGCAAACAUCUUGUUUUAGAACUUGGCCCACAACACUGUUCUUCCUCCCUGGAAAAGACUGCCUAAUUCAAUUCCUCUUCACCCUGAACCCAGUCGUUACCUGCAAACAAGAAAGAAGAGGCUGACCCCUGCUGGUUCAUAGAGUAUGACCCUUAAUGACACACUUAUCAUCCCAUCUGGACUAUUCUAACUCUGGUUGGGUUCCUUCUUCUGCCACAUCUGUGCUCUUGACCAGGAAUAACACUGAAAGUUUGUUGUAAUUCCCCAAGCACUAACUACGGCUUAGGGAUUGUUCAGGUGAAUAAUGGCUUGUUGUGAAAAAUGACUCAGUGGGCCUCAAGAACAACUCAGGGUAAGCAGAAUUCGCCCCAAAAUAUGAUUCUAGGUGAAACUAUCCCUUUAAAGUAAAAAUGUUUUAAGGAUAUACCCAGUUUGAAAACAAUGUUUCAGAAAUGCUUGAUUUGUUCCAGUUUUUAUGUUGAGCCUACUUUUUAAUUACAUUAAAGAACGAACACAACGAAUUUUGACGUUGGACGAAUGUUUCUUUUAAAUAUUUCCCUUUUUAUGUGAAUGAUGUGUUAUCAGGUGUGGGUUAGCAAAUGGAAAUGUGCUUGGUAAGUAUUAGGCCAAUCACAGUGAAUGUUAAGUCUAUGCGCAGUGAUUUUGGAGAGAUUGUUCUAAGGAGAUAGUCUUUAGGGUGUGAAGAAAAGAGGAGCACCAUUUAUACAAAUGUAACUUGUGGCACCGAGUGGCUGGUGAGAUUAAAAUGGGAUUUAGGGGGUAAAUGUUGAGAUAAAGCUAUGGGGAGAAGCAGAAGAUAGGUUGGAGUGAGUCACUACUUUAAACAAU